rnacentral:rRNA from 1 species
ACUCCUACGGGAGGCAGCAGUGGGGGAAUAUUGCACAAUGGGCGCAAGCCUGAUGCAGCCAUGCCGCGUGUAUGAAGAAGGCCUUCGGGUUGUAAAGUACUUUCAGCAGUGAGGAAGGUGAUAUGUUAANGCAUACUCAUUUGACGUUAGCUGCAGAAGAAGCACCGGCUAACUCCGUGCCAGCAGCCGCGGUAAUACGGAGGGUGCGAGCGUUAAUCGGAAUUACUGGGCGUAAAGCGCAUGCAGGUGGUUUGUUAAGUCAGAUGUGAAAGCCCGGGGCUCAACCUCGGAAUUGCAUUUGAAACUGGCAAACUAGAGUACUGUAGAGGGGGGGUAGAAUUUCAGGUGUAGCGGUGAAAUGCGUAGAGAUCUGAAGGAAUACCGGUGGCGAAGGCGGCCCCCUGGACAGAUACUGACACUCAGAUGCGAAAGCGUGGGGAGCAAACAGGAUUAGAUACCCUGGUAGCUACGAGU